rfam:Picea glauca, whole genome shotgun sequence.
UGCGGAGUAGAGUAUUCUGGUAGCUUGCAAGGCCUAUAACCUUGAGGUCACGAGUUCAAAUCCCAUCUCUGCCA